CAUGUCGCGGUGAAUACGUUCCCGGGCCUUGUACACACCGCCCGUCACACCAUGGAAGCUGGUUGCACCAGAAGUGAGUUGCCUAACCUUCGGGAGGGCGCUUACCACGGUGUGAUCAGUGACUGGGGUGAAGUCGUAACAAGGUAGCCGUAGGGGAACCUGUGGCUGGAUCACCUCCUUA
rnacentral:rRNA from 1 species